UGAGGAAUAUUGGUCAAUGGGCGAGAGCCUGAACCAGCCAAGUCGCGUGAAGGAAGACUGCCUUAUGGGUUGUAAACUUCUUUUAUACAGGAAUAAAAAGGCUUACGUGUAGGCCAUUGCAAGUACUGUAUGAAUAAGCAUCGGCUAACUCCGUGCCAGCAGCCGCGGUAAUACGGAGGAUGCGAGCGUUAUCCGGAUUUAUUGGGUUUAAAGGGUGCGCAGGCGGGCUUUUAAGUCAGCGGUGAAAUCUGGACGCUUAACGUCCAAACUGCCGUUGAAACUGGGAGUCUUGAGUAUGGAUGAAGUAGGCGGAAUUCGUUGUGUAGCGGUGACAUGCAUAGAUAUAACGAGGAACUCCGAUUGCGUAGGCAGCUUACUAAGCCAUAACUGACGCUCAUGCACGAAAGCGUGGGGAUCAAACAGGAUUAGAUACCCUGGUAGUCCACGCCGUAAACGAUGAUUACUAGUUGUAUGCGAUAUGAUAGUAUGUGACUAAGCGAAAGCGAUAAGUAAUCCACCUGGGGGAGUACGCCGGCAACGGUGAAACUU
rnacentral:rRNA from 1 species